GAUGAACGCUGGCGGUAUGCUUAACACAUGCAAGUCGUACGAGAGUUUUUAACUCUAGUGGCGGACGGGUGAGUAACACGUGAGAAUCUACCCUAAGGAGGGGAAUAACAGCUGGAAACGGUUGCUAAUACCCCAUACGCCGAAAGGUGAAAGGAUAUAUCCACCUUAGGAAGAGCUCGCGCCUGAUUAGCUAGUUGGUGAGGUAACGGCUCACCAAGGCCAUGAUCAGUAGCUGGUUUGAGAGGACGAUCAGCCACACUGGGACUGAGACACGGCCCAGACUCCUACGGGAGGCAGCAGUGGGGAAUCUUCCGCAAUGGGCGAAAGCCUGACGGAGCGACACCGCGUGAGGGAAGAAGGUCUUUGGAUUGUAAACCUCUUUUCUGAGGGAAUAAAGUUGUUGAAUGUACCUCAGGAAUAAGCACCCGCCAAUCUCGUGCCAGCCGCCGCCGUAA
rnacentral:rRNA from 1 species